UGUUCCCUUGGUGUUAUCCACUUCCCAACUAUCCAUGUCUGCGUAUUAUACAUAUAAAUAUAUAUGCAUAUACCCAUAUAAAUAUAACAAUAGUUUUAAGGAGUUAUGUACACCCAUUCAUUUAUAUAUAUAUGUGAACUUACUUUGCAGUUUUGGGCUGCCUGGUACUUGGUGACUUGAACAAGGUAGUUCUGGCAAUCCACAGGGGCCUCUUUUUGAAUCUUUUGAAAUCUUUCUGAUGAUAAUGUUAACAUCUGCAUGGUUAAUCUCAGCCGUUAAUUCAUCAUAAUUUUUUAAUUUUUUUUUUUUUUUUUUUUUUUAGAAAUACAUAGUUGGUAAUUGAUUAAAGACUUACAAGAACUCGAAUUCUCUUACGGCAAAGGUAGAGGG
rnacentral:lncRNA from 1 species